rnacentral:rRNA from 1 species
GACGGGGAGCACACGAACGGGUGGAGUCUUGCGGUUUAAUUGGAUUCAACGCCGGAAACUCACCAGAUAAGACAGCUGAAUGAUAGUCGGGCUGAAGACUCUACUUGACUAGCUGAGAGGAGGUGCAUGGCCGUCGUCAGUUCGUACUGUGAAGCAUCCUGUUAAGUCAGGCAACGAGCGAGACCCACGCCAACAGUUGCCAGCUCGUCCUCCGGGAUGGUGGGGACACUGUUGGGACCGCCUCUGCUAAAGAGGAGGAAGGAAUGGGCAACGGUAGGUCAGCAUGCCCCGAAUUAUCUGGGCUACACGCGGGCUACAAUGGGUGGGACAAUGGGUAUCGACACCGAAAGGUGAAGGCAAUCUCCUAAACCCAUCCGUAGUUCGGAUUGUGGGCUGCAACUCGCCCACAUGAAGCUGGAAUCUGUAGUAAUCGUGUCUCAAAAUGGCACGGUGAAUAUGUCCCUGCUCCUU